UACAGAGGGGGCAAGCGUUGUUCGGAAUUACUGGGCGUAAAGGGCUCGUAGGUGGCCAACUAAGUCAGACGUGAAGUCCCUCGGCUUAACCGGGGAACUGCGUCUGAUACUGGACGGCUUGAGUUUGGGAGAGGGACGCGGAAUUCCAGGUGUAGCGGUGAAAUGCGUAGAUAUCUGGAGGAACACCGGUGGCGAAGGCGGCGUCCUGGACCAACACUGACACUGAGGAGCGAAAGCCAGGGGAGCAAACGGG
rnacentral:rRNA from 1 species